UUAUAUUGAAAGAGAAACUGUUGAAAAAUAUACUGAGCUUUUUGACAGGAAUUAACCCAACCCCUAAAGAAGGCCAGCAAGAAAAAAGAAUCAAGUAUGAAUUUAAAGGAAAUAAAUCUUUAUAGCGUUGCUUUUACAGCCCUGCAAAAAAAUGUAAUGUGCAUCUCAUUUGCAGACACAAGCAAUUGCCAAGUAGAUAAAGCUUUGAUUAUAAAUGUUUAGAACAGCAACGAAACAGAAUACGAUUGAGGACGGGUAUUGGCGUUUUUACGGUGCAUUGUACGUAAGGGAUGGAAGGACCAUUGAAUUAUUAAGUAUUAAUACUAUAGGGCGCAAAACUGCCAGCAAUAAUCGAGAAUGAUGGAUUUAAUUUAUGUUUAUUGGUUAAUUGGUAAUUCCCUGAUCUAGAUCGUAAUAAUUAGACCCGGGUUUGAAUCCUUUAACACCCUCUCGGGUGAAAUUAGUACGUUUCAUAAAUUUGUGUCUGAUGCAAAAGACGCGGUUUGACCACCGAUCGGGAGACAACGGAGAACCGUAAAGUUACCGACGCUGUCAGUCUCAGCUCCUAGAUUUCCAAGCUGUCGAGAGGCGUUGGAACUGAACCGACCUGAACGAAGGAAACGACUGGAUUGCAAUGUGAAAUCGAAAAUGUUUGGUGUGGCUGAAAACAUUUAAAACCAUAAUGAAGUUGAAAGUUUGAUUAAAUUAGCACAAUGUCAUAUAGACUGCGCCCUGCACCAGUAAAUGCAACAAAUGGGAAAUGUGUUCACAAUACUGACAUAAUGUUUAGUUCAAGCCUGAUACAGUUUUAAUUUUCAAUUUCGUUUGUAUCAAAUCCGUGCCAUCAGUCAUCUUGAAUCCGUAAAUAAAAUAUUAAAAUAUCACACUACGAAUAUGAGCAUAAAAUGUUUCAUACGUCUCAUAAUUUCAAGUAAAGUAUAUUUGACCUGAACUUCGUACUGAGCUUCCCCCCCCCCCCCCCAGUAAUAAUUCGCAACAAGUUGCUGAAACAAUAUCCCUUCAGGAGGGCUCUCACGCCGCGGUGGGCCGCAGCAGGUUGUGCUGAGACUUUGCAGUGGUUUUAUUGCUCUUGCUCGCUCAGACAGCCGCCUUAGAAUUUGUUUCGAUCGGACAGGCUGCACUCGAUCACCACGUUUAACCGGCUCCUUCGUGUCCCAGUGAGAACGACUCCCGAAACGCCGCACCGAGAGCGCUGGGACAAAUGGCUACUUGUUGACAAGACGCGUGUUCAUAUACAGCAGUGUUCGGGAUAACAUUUAAUUCCUCGUAUACAUGCGCACAACUUUAAUCCUAAAUCAAUGUAUAAGCAGCGUGUUGUUUAAAAUAGAAGUGAAAUUACAUUUCAUCUCAGUGCCACGGCCCUCAGACCUGAAAACGUAGAGGCCGUCACCUAAGGGUACAACGAGAGGCAGCCGUGGCUGUAGCCUUUUUUUAAACUUAUCAACACUCUUUGUUUUUGGGUUUACAAAUUAUAAAUGCAAUCAAGAUCAAUCUCGUUCAAAUGAUUAAUUGAAUUAAGGUUGUAAUUUUUUUUAAAGCAGCAAAUAUUUUCUACAAGGAUGAAUUGUUGGAUAAUCUGCGUUGGAAACGGUUUCAAAUGCCAAAGGGAAAUUGAUCGGAGUUUUCCCUUUCAAACUGAACAUGCGACCCUGAAUUAGACAAAUUAUAACAUCCUGCUCUGAGGUAUUUCUUUGACUGCCGAUUCACAAUGCAGUUCAUAAGGAGUUCUGUUUACUUCCAGAAUUUGCUUUCUCUCUCCUGGUGCAUUCUUUCUUACAAAUGCUGAGUUUUGAUGCAAUGCAAGAGUUUUGAGGAAAAUGAAGGCGUUGGGAACUUUACUUUAGAAAUCUAGUUUUCUCUCUGGCAACAGAUUGCUUUAAUUUGUUAUCGAAAAGAUGUUCAUGGUUUAUAAAAACAAUGACCACGUUUUCUUCCUAUAAAUGAUCACGGCAAAUUUUGCUCAGAAUAACUUACUCACCUUGGCUAACUUUGGACCUAGAUGUUAAAAACUACAAAUUUGUUCAUAACUACAAAUUCGAGCAAGCGACUACAAUAUAAUAUAAGAAACUGCAAUAUUUUGUUAGUUUAUUUUUCAUCUGAAAUCAAAAUAUUUUACAAUCUUUUCAGAAGGUAAUAAUAGGUUUGAGUUGGUUUAUAGGUGAAGUGGAGACCCUGUGACGUGUAUAUUUACAUAUAAAGUCUUCAUAUAUAACUCUGAGUAUCAAAUUGUUUAGGAUUUCCAUACAAGAAAGUCCCCGGAAUAAAAAAAUACAUAAAUGCACUAUAACUAACAGAGAAUCAAUGAGAGUAGAAGCAGGUCAGUGACAUUUGCGGUUAAAUCAAUAUUUUUGUGUACACGGCCCAUUUCUGCACAGGAGGGACCGAGUGUUUCAUUGACACUAAAAUGGUCUCACAGUGGAACUGCUGCACGAAGAAUUGGGGAAGUCCUCCGCCGAGGAGGGAAAUAAACGUGUGUUUCAGAAAAGAGAAACCGUCUUGUGCUGAAAGCAACAGCCAUUCAUUCUAAAGGUCGUUGUUCGAUUCGAGGUCAAGCGGAUUAAAAUUUAAAUGUAUUGUCUGUCCCGAGAAUUUUUAUCCUCCGCGCGCUAAACUAACGCUUCUUAAGUGGAUGGGAUAUGCGACAGGCAUAUGUCCCAAGAUUACGACUGGGCUCCAGAGCUCUGAAGACUGCAGCGUGCCUUUUGGGCUCUCGAGAGGAGGUUUAUGCCGCUCCAUCUCAGUGCAUGUUUUGCCACCCGACGUCUAUAUUUAAGCUUGAAGGCUGCUUUCGUUCAGGGUCCACAAGACAUCCCAACCCCGGCACAUUUCGGAUCCCUUCCAAUCUUCCCCACCCAACUACCUGUGGAGAGCGCGAAAUACAGAAAUCUGGCCGCCGUGGCGCCUUCCUCUGUCUGUUCUAGACCGUGUAACAGAAAUACGCCCCAAACGAGUAAAUUCAAUCACCUUGUUCGAUUAUGGUCCAAAAAGAAAAAUGCAGUCGAAUGAAAUAAAAUAGUACCCUUAAAUAAAAAUAGUUGUAUUUUCGUCAGCACUGGAUGCCAAACAAAACAACUGACAAGCAAAGGAUUGCUACUGGAAAUACUUGAGAUCUGUUUUGUUUUUUGUUUUUCGCUGUUAUGCUAGCGAUCCGGACAGAACAUUCGCAACUUGGCAAUACCUUGUGUAAACUUUACAUCGAUCAAUUCCGCGGGGAGUUUGCCAAAACGACGCACAGGAAAAGUGACAGGAGAAUGAAGGCGCAACGAAAAUAAAUUCUAUCAAUGUUUCUCAAAUGCCUGCCAUUUUCCACAGAAUUUGCCCUUUUUUUGAUAAUUCGGCUGAACAAAGUGGAGACUUUGCCUUUAAACUAAGUUUUGACCCCUUGAUGAAUAAUGCAGUUGCAGCAUAUGUGAUCAAUCUCCAGCGAGGAGAGACCCUGAAUGGAGCCCAUUGUCACGGCAAAAGUUAUCACUCUCGACAAUCUUGUAACUUUCCAAGAUAGCCCCACAACGUGUGCUGGAGAGUUGAGGGCGCUCUGUACACAGAAUGGACGAAUUUAUCAAGUUUUCCAAAGCGCAUCUACAGCAACUUCAUCUUAAAUAAAUAAAAAGUUCGUGAAAUUGAUUAAAGUCUGUUUGUAAAUGCAAGUUCCACAUACAAUGCAUCGGUCUAAAUAACGAGGUAAUUUAUCCUUAUUCCGUCAGUCGAUGAUUUAUCAACAUAGCAAUUAUUUUAUGAAGAGGAUCGAAAUAUAAUCGCUUAAAGUGAGUGCCAUAAUGAAACAGUUGUUCAAUUAGGGAGGAGUUCGUGGGUUAAUUUUGCAAAUAGACGCCAGAAUUCCAGCUUUAACCUCAUUAUUACCGAUUGAUUGAAUUAGUUUAUUGAAGGACUUCUCACUGUCUGCUGGACAUUUGCUGGGACGGAGAUGAGCCCAAUCCAGAUCGGGGAGCCAGAACAGAAUUAAUUCGUACAGAGGCGGAAAGCCCUGCCGUUAUAGAAGCGUCAAAUGACAUUGGAAUCGCAGACUAUUACACAUGAAUGCUUGAGACUUCUGAUUAUUUUGUUUUGAAUGAACAAGUCAGCGCAUUUUAAGUUUUAAUUGUUGAACAUGGUGUUUUUGAAAUCAUACACGGGUGGAUAAAGAACUGCUUUUAACGUAGAAUUUUAAUCCGUAAUAUAAUGGUCUAAAGCAGGAGUUAUUAACCUGGGGUCCACAGGGCUCUGUUGAUAAGAUUCCAGAGGGUCCAAAUCUUCUUAUUUAACGCUUUAAUAAAGAAGCACAUACA